GGUUAGGUCUAGGGAUAUGAUUAAGGUUUGAGGUUAGAUGUAGGAAUGUGAUUAAGGUUUGAGGUUAGGUGUAGGGAUAUGAUUAAGGUUUUAGGUUAGGUGUAGGGAUAUGAUUAAGGUUUAAGGUUAGGUAUAGGGAUAUGAUUGAGGUUAGGUGUAGGGAUAUGAUUAAGGUUUAACGUUAGGUGUAGAGAUGUGCUUGAGGUUUGAGGUUAGAUGUAGGGAUAUGAUUAAGGUUUAAGGUUAGGUGCAGGGAUAUGAUUGAGGUUAGGUGUAGGGAUAUGAUUAAGGUUUGAGGUUAGGUGCAGGGAUAUGAUUAAGGUUUUAGGUUUGGUGUAGGGAUAUGUUUAAGGUUUUAGGUUAGGUGUAGGGAUAUGAUUAAGGUUUGAGGUUAGGUGUAGGGAUAUGAUUAAGGUUUUAGGUUAGGUGUAGGGAUAUGAUUAAGGUUUUAGGUAAGCUGUAGGGUCAAGGGUUGAAUUUAGGAAUCAGGUUAGUUAAUGAAUUUACUGCCGAGCAAUUGUCACAGGAGCAAGUGGCAUACUAUCAGUUGAUGUAAAGACACAAUUUAAACUGAUGUAAUAUUGUAGCCCAACCUUGACUGUUAUUAACUCUCUUUUUAUCUCCAUG